GUUUGUCAAUCAUCUGAUAUGUGUGCCACUGGGUACUAAGUCAGAGUGGUUGAUGCAGUCAGGGAGUAAUGGAACUCUGUGGUGCCAGGCAGCAAAGGUGUCCUCCAGGAUCUUUCAGCCCACACUGCCUGGGGGCUUUGGCGGCUUUGGAGGAAAGUCCUUCCCUGAGGCAAACGGGGUGCCCUGGUCUUCCACCUUGGGACCCAACCAAGAAUGUAGGUAUUUCUGACAGGCAGUUCGUUGUGGGGGUAGGUGCCGUGUUCGUGCAGCUCCUCAAACUCGGGCUGUGAUAGGAGCCGCUGUCUUGCAUCCAUGGGUCCCCCUGCUUCAUGCGGUAGGACCGGGGGCCCUUGGGUCCACAGGGGUUCAGAGUCGCCCUUGGGUGUAUUGAAUGGUGGGUGGUAGGAAAUACCUUUUGGGCUUUCGGCCCGAAGGAACAGUCUGCAUUCUCAUCGGCAACCUGUGUCCCAGCUUUAGCCUAUGUGGGAGCCCUGUUAGGUCGGCUAGGUCUGAGCUGGUUCUUCAUUUUGGUAGGCCUUCUGGGUGCUGUUUGCUGGCUCUGUUUCUGUGCACCCUGGCUCUCAUGCGUUACGUGUUGCUGCUUGUUGUGGGCCAGUUUGCAACAAAACGCUGCAAAUACUGCAUCCAGCCUGGUUUCAAGGUCAGCCUGUGCUGUCCGGUAGGGCGCAUGGUGGUUUGGGUCUUCACCGUGUCGUGGGUGCCACGGGGCCUUCAUUAGUGAAGCGCCUUGCUGCAAGGCUGUCUACUGAGGGUGGUAGAUGGCUUUCCCCAUCGGGGACCAGGAUAUUCCCCACCGGUCCAUAGGGGGGGCUGCAAGGCUAUCUUAGGCACUGUUUGCACACUGUGACACGAAGUAGGGGGAUCGGCCGCCUCCCCCAGGCCACGAGGCACGCUGGGCCGCAUGGUCAGAUUGCCGGACUUCACCGGUUAACGGCACGUUUCGGGUAUGCCCGUGUGCUUGUUUUUUGUCCCUAAUUGCCGGAGCUGUUAAGAGAGUGCGUCCAUCCAUCUUGGCGUUCAUGCCCUGCACCACCUAAAAUCUUUUUAAUGAGUGACAUGUCAUAUGUUUUAAGGUCAUUUAUGUUGUAAACUUUGGAACCAAGACAUGAUCAAUAUACCAGGGAUUAUAUACACAAACAAACUAAAUUUAGUUAUUUGCCAUACUGUUUGGUAUAAGGAUCAUAGGAUUAAACUUAUCUAUAUGUCCAAAGACUGUGGCUUAGUAGAGAAGUAAAACAAGAGAUUAAAAAUAAGAAAAGGGCAUUUAAAGCAUUUAAAUCAGACAAAUCAAAGGCAUCCUAUUUAAGAUAUAAAGAAGCCAAUAACGCUUGCAAAAAGGCAAUUAAAGUGGCUAAACUAGAAAAUGAGAAAUUGAUAGCUAAAGAAUGCAAAACCAACCCCCAAAUUUUUUUCAAGUACAUCAAUUCUAAAAAAACUAAAAAAUUAAAGUGUAGGUUCACUUGAAACAGAGUUGGGUUUGUUAGCUAAUGAGGACCAGGAAAAAGCAG